rnacentral:lncRNA from 1 species
AGGACUUUUUUGCACCUUGAAUCCUUGAUCUGGCUCCGUGCUUGUUGACAGUUGGACACCUGCACAGGUUAUGCCAAACCGUGAGGUCCUUAGCCCCUUGGAACCGAAUUCUUCUGUCCUGGAGGCUAUGCAGGGAAGGUCAACAAGGCACUUACACAUCGCACCAAUGGGGAAGUUGCAGACAGUCUUGAGAAUUAAACGUCUCUGCUUGGACCACUACCAAAUUCAAACAACCAAAUGGAGAGACUGACGCCCAUGGAGAGGGGAAGAGAGGGUGCUGAGGGAAAUCCUGGAACUGACUCUUCCUGCUUGGAAACCUUGCUGUCACUUCGGGAUCCUGGAAAGCUCAUCACUCUCUUUGCUGCGAAGGGUGUUUCUUUACCUGCAACAAAGUUGCGACGGGGAUGCAGUUAAAGACAACAUAGCUGAGACUCGUGCAGUCAGUGGGAGAUGCUCCCAGCUGUGGCCACACCCACAGACCUGGAUUCUCUCCUGGAAGGAACAGAUCCAUGAUGUGUCAUUUUGCAAACUAGAGCAUAUGAUGGAUGCAUUGGAAGCUCUUGACCCAGCUAGAGUGCGACGCCCUGCCAGAGGCAUUGGAAGGAUCCAGAAAGCUGGACAGGAACAACACUGAAAAGAUGUGGCUCUCCCUCACUAGAACGUCAGUUCCACACCAAAGGGUCCUUUUCACUUCACU